CCCUCGUAGUGGAGGGACUCCUCGAAGUGGUGGCCGUCCUCAUCCCAGCCCUCGGUGACCCGCAGCUUGACACCGGGCCAUUGGUUCAUCACUGAGAUUGCCAGCGAGUUCAGCUUGUCUUUGCACCGCUGCGGACAAGACAAAGUUUCGGCACCCGGCACGUGAUCAUCUCGGGCCGGGUGAAGAUCCAAAGCCACUUUCAAGCGACCCCACUGUUGCGACUCCCCCUGCUAUCACAUCAAAGCCAAAAGAACGAAGAUGGCUCCAUCAGAAGAUCAAAUCAAUUUGCUACUCUGAAGUGGACGAGAAGGAUGGUCGUAACGCCACAAAAUUUUAUACAAACUCUGAGACGUGAGACUUGGCAAGUCCAUAUUUCUGACAUGCUCCAGUGAAGCGGAACCAACUGGAGACAUUUGAGGGCGGACCAGCUGACUCCAAAGUAAGAAUUCCAAAGCAAGCAGUAGGAUGGUGAUCAACUCAGUGGCCCUUCAGGAUCACAUCACCAGGAAUUUUCUUGAACCUGAUUUGUUGCUUUCGGACCCGCUGCUGACAUUCAAAAGCAAAGGCCACGCAAAGGAGAGAGCGAUUCGAAGCGAUGUUCCUCCGAGCCUCGGAGAAGAGCGAGAAUAUGUGCUUGAUCCCGUGCCGCUGCCUCCGACGUUAGCUCAGAGGAUGGGCUUGGUGGCGUUGCCCCCAGAGAGGCUGAGCGAAGAUGAGUGGACUCUAGUGAAAGCCAGAUCGGUCCAGCAACGGGAAUCCGAGCAGCCUUGCGCAAUAUGCAGGGAGGCAUUCUGCCUUAAACCUCAGGUGUUACUGUCGUGCUCACACGUCUUCCACAAAGCAUGUCUGCAGGCCUUUGAGAGGUUCUCCGGCCGCAAGUGCUGCCCCAUGUGCCGCCGGGAGCCGUACGAAACACGAAUCAUCCACGACGCCGCGCGCCUAUUCCGAAACCACUGUGCUGUCAGAAUUCAAGCAUUCUGGCGAGGUUACGUGGCCCGGAAGUGGUACGGGAGUAUUCGGAGGACCGUCUGCCCGAAAGACAAGCGGCUCCGGCGCAAAUUCCUGGAAGCCAAGCUGCAGGAGCUGAGCGACGACUUCGUGCGACGCUGUCACACCGACGCCGAAGCUUUUCUCAGCGAUAUCGACCGCUCGCUGUCAUCGAGUCGCCGAGUAUUUCGCCUGCUGGAGAGAAAAAAGAACGUCGCCGAGCCUCGGGAGGACGACUGGCGGCGCAUACAGAGUCAGGUGACCCAGCGGGGGGCCGGCGACUGCCCCAUCUGCCUGACAGCGCUGUAUGACCCGGGAGCGACACCUGGGUCCCCUGGCUUCAAGCUCCAUCAACGAGGAAGACGCUCGGUGCUCCUGUCCUGCUCCCACCUCUUCCAUCAGGUCUGCCUGGAUGCCUUUGAGGCCUUCGUAGCGGACCGCAGCCCCGCGUGCCCCCUCUGCAGGUCCAGCUACCACAAGAAGCUCAUCUGAAGCAGUUUGCAUUAGCCACCCCGCUGGAGAGCCACGCCGUCUAAACGCGGCAAGAUAGAUGGGCGCCGGCGCAGACAUGUCAGCUCGGCGGGCCAGGCGCACCGUAACAAGAUCCGGCGAAGCCCUCCGACUCCAGGAAGAAAUAGGCGAAGGGCAUCAGGACAAAAAGGCAAAGGUUGGAAAAGAGGGAGACCAGAUUCCACAGACCUGGAGAAAGUAAAGUACAGCAUUGGGC